rnacentral:rRNA from 1 species
UACGGGGGGGGCAAGCGUUGUUCGGAAUUACUGGGCGUAAAGGGCUCGUAGGCGGCCAACUAAGUCCGACGUGAAAUCCCCAGGCUUAACCUGGGAACUGCGUCGGAUACUGGAUGGCUUGAAUUCGGGAGAGGGAUGCAGAAUUCCAGGUGUAGCGGUGAAAUGCGUAGAUAUCAGGAGGAACACCGGUGGCGAAGGCGGUUCUCUGGGCCUUACCUGACGCUGAGGAGCGAAAGCAUGGGGAGCAAACAGG